rfam:Capsicum annuum cultivar Zunla-1 chromosome 2, whole genome shotgun sequence
AGGAGCCAUAUGAGGUGAAAAUCUCAUGUACGGUUCUGUAGAGUGGUAGUAAGGGUGACUUAUCUGUCAAAUUUUCCACUAUCAC